UCAGUCACUAUGAGACACCUGGGAAAACUGCCCCACCUUGUGGCUCCACUGCCUGAUGACUGAACUGACUCCAGGCUUGACCUCUGGUCUCCCCUGUGUUAUUUCUGCUGAAGUACCCAGUCCCAGGCCAGGCUUUCCAGUACCCAAAGGGUUUUAAGGACAAUGGGAAGUUCCAUCAUCCAUCUCUAGGAUGUCCUUGGCAAGGGAAGCUGAAGAGAAACAUACCUUGGGGGGCAAAGUAAGACUGAAAACUAAGAAGAUUCCCAGCACUGCAUGCUCCAAGUAGGACCAAAGAUGGAGACUCCCAAGCCCUCCAUCUCCAGCAGCAACUUAAACCCCAGGGAGGCGAUGGAGAGCUGUGAGUAUUAACCUGUUGAUCCUGAGACUGCCAGGACGCAAGCUACCAGUGGUGGAUGAAUGGUCAGAGCCUCCUAUGACUCAUAGGUUGCAGCUGUCCGAAACCAACAGACCCUCUCUCUAUUGGUGUCACAAAGUAUACUGCAGGACCCUAUGAAUGUGAAAUACGGAACUCAGUGAGUGCCAGCCGCAGUGACCCUUCACCCUGAAUCUCUCCAUGGUCCAGACCUCCCAGAAUUUCCCUUCAUCACCUUUACCGUUCAGGAGAAAACCUCGACUUGUCCUGCUUCGCGGACUCUAACCCACCCGGCACAGUAUUCUUGGACAAUUAAUGGGAAGUUUCAGCUAUCAGGACAAAAGCUCUUUAUCCCCCAAAUUACUACAAAGCAUAGAGGGCUCUAUGCUUGCUCUGUUCGUAACUCAGCCACUGGCGAGGAAAGCUCAACAUCCUGACAGUCAGAGUCUCUG
rnacentral:sRNA from 1 species